GCGGGGAUUGCCGAGUGGUCAAAGGCGCUAGAUUCAGGUUCUAGUCCUUAGUGGUCCGGGAGUUCGAAUCUCCCUCCCCGCACCA
rnacentral:tRNA from 1 species